rnacentral:rRNA from 1 species
GAUGAACGCUGGCGGCGUGCCUAAUACAUGCAAGUCGAGCGAACAGACGAGGAGCUUGCUCCUCUAACGUUAGCGGCGGACGGGUGAGUAACACGUGGAUAACCUACCUAUAAGACUGGGAUAACUUCGGGAAACCGGAGCUAAUACCGGAUAAUAUAUUGAACCGCAUGGUUCAAUAGUGAAAGACGGUUUUGCUGUCACUUAUAGAUGGAUCCGCGCCGCAUUAGCUAGUUGGUAAGGUAACAGCUUACCAAGGCAACGAUGCGUAGCCGACCUGAGAGGGUGAUCGGCCACACUGGAACUGAGACACGGACCAGACUCCUACGGGAGGCAGCAGUAGGGAAUCUUCCGCAAUGGGCGAAAGCCUGACGGAGCAACGCCGCGUGAGUGAUGAAGGUCUUCGGAUCGUAAAACUCUGUUAUUAGGGAAGAACAAAUGUGUAAGUAACUAUGCACGUCUUGACGGUACCUAAUCAGAAAGCCACGGCUAACUACGUG